GUUCUUGUAGUUGAAUUACAACGGUGGUUUUUCGAGCCAUUAGUCCUGGUUGAACUCCUGGCAGGAAUC
rnacentral:tRNA from 1 species